UUAUCUAUCAACUUUCGAUGAUUGUAUAGAGGACAAUCAUGGUUUUAACGGGUAACAGAGAAUAAGGGUUUUAUUCUGGAGAGGGAGCCUAGAGAAAUUGCUACCACUUCCAAGGAAGGCAGCAGGCGCGAAAAUUACCCAAUAAAAAUACUUUGAGGUAGUAACAAAAAAUAACGACAACAUUUAUGAGAAAAUAAGAGAAUAAAAAUCUUUUAUUUUUUUUAGUUGAUUGUAAUGAGUACAAUUUAAAAAAAUUAAUUAGAAUCAAUUAGAGGGCAAGUCUGGUGCCAGCAGCCGCGGUAAUUCCAGCUCUAAUAGCGUAUAUUUAAGUUGUUGUAUUUAAAAAG
rnacentral:rRNA from 1 species